rnacentral:rRNA from 1 species
CCCCUAGAUGUUCUGGGCAGCACGCGCGCUACAAUGGUCUUCGCAAACGGAUGCAUUCUCGAAGGAGAAUGCCAAUCUUGGAAUCUAUGCCUUGGUCGGGACAGUUGCUUGCAAUUUUUCGACUCGAACCAGGAAUUCCUUGUAAUCGUGAUUCAUCACAUCACGAUGAAUACGUCCCUGCCCUUUGUACACACCGCCCGUUGCUCCUACCGAUCGAAGAGUUAGGUGAAUUGUUUUGAUCGAUAAGAUUUGACUAUGGUCAACUCUCGUUGUGAAAUUCUGUGAAUCUGACUGUUUAGAGGAAGGAAAAGUCGUAACA